rnacentral:rRNA from 1 species
AACGAACGCUGGCGGCACGCCUAACACAUGCAAGUCGAGCGCACCUUCGGGUGAGCGGCGGACGGGUUAGUAACGCGUGGGAACAUACCCUUCUCUAAGGAAUAGCCACUGGAAACGGUGAGUAAUACCUUAUACGCCCUUCGGGGGAAAGAUUUAUCGGAGAUGGAUUGGCCCGCGUUAGAUUAGAUAGUUGGUGGGUAACGGCCUACCAAGUCUACGAUCUAUAGCUGGUUUAGAGGAUGAUCAGCAACACUGGACUGAGACACGGCCCAGACUCCUACGGGAGGCAGCAGUGGGGAAUCUAGACAAUGGGGCAAAGCCUGAUCUAGCGAUGCCGCGUGAGUGAUGAAGGCCUUAGGGUCGUAAAGCUCUUUCGCCAGGGAUGAUAAUGACAGUACCUGGUAAAG